UACGUAGGUGGCGAGCGUUGUCCGGAAUUACUGGGCGUAAAGGGCGCGUAGGCGGCUCUUUAAGUCAGAUGUGAAAACCCGAGGCUUAACUUCGGGACUGCAUUUGAAACUGAAGGGCUUGAGUGCAGGAGAGGUAAGCGGAAUUCCUAGUGUAGCGGUGAAAUGCGUAGAUAUUAGGAGGAACACCAGUGGCGAAGGCGACUUACUGGACUGUAACUGACGCUGAGGCAUGAAAGCGUGGGUAGCAAAC
rnacentral:rRNA from 1 species